GCAGGAGAGAGUUUUAGGUCUUUUGGAAUGGGGACAGCAUAUAUGUAAGAUGUAGCUGCUAGAGUUUCCCGGUAUCAUGGCGGAUGUGUAAGGAUUCGCCACCAGAGGAAUCAGAUUUUAAUAAGGCUUACAAGAUUAGGUUUUAGUUGUUGUGCCCAGAGAUUGAGUUACCAUUGUUUCUGAACUAAGUUUGUGUUGGCUUUCCCUUCACACAGUGGGGGCGGCUCAUCUGGGUUCAAGAGAGAAAGGUAUCCUGUAAAGCAUGGGUGUGCUAAAUGUGCAACACAAAGGUUGUGGGGGAUUUGAAGCACAGGUGGGCUUGGGUUCAGACUACAAACUGCUUCUGUGUGACUAAGAGAAGAAGAAUCAGAGUAAAGAGAAACAUACUCUCUUAAUCUCCGAAGAUUAACGGCAGGAGGAGCUCUAGAAUUUCACAAAGGUGCUGUCAGGACACAUGAAAAUCUAGAGAAAAAGACCAGCUUGAAGAGACCAAAAAGAAGAAAGCCUGCCAAUCACAAUCCUCCAGAGAUUCUGAGACACACACACCCCUGGUGUAGGGGGACACCAUCUGAAAGGUGACACCCACUCUACGGAAUAUAAGUACCAGCUAAAGAGGACACACACUUGAAGAAAAAGGAGACAAUGAGGUCUUGUGAAUGCUCUAAUUUUUCAAAGCUUACUUUUAAUGAUGGUUCUUAAACGCUUUAACCUCCCUUCUAGUCCACCACCCACCAAAGGUAGUGAAAAGAAAGGUGAUUAGGAUACAGACAA
ensembl:processed_transcript Platr14 pluripotency associated transcript 14